AGUGAACGCUGGCGGUAGGCCUAACACAUGCAAGUCGAACGGCAGCACAGGAGAGCUUGCUCUCUGGGUGGCGAGUGGCGGACGGGUGAGGAAUACAUCGGAAUCUACUCUGUCGUGGGGGAUAACGUAGGGAAACUUACGCUAAUACCGCAUACGACCUACGGGUGAAAGCAGGGGACCUUCGGGCCUUGCGCGAUUGAAUGAGCGGAUGUCGGAUUAGCUAGUUGGCGGGGUAAAGGCCCACCAAGGCGACGAUCCGUAGCUGGUCUGAGAGGAUGAUCAGCCACACUGGAACUGAGACACGGUCCAGACUCCUACGGGAGGCAGCAGUGGGGAAUAUUGGACAAUGGGCGCAAGCCUGAUCCAGCCAUACCGCGUGGGUGAAGAAGGCCUUCGGGUUGUAAAGCCCUUUUGUUGGGGAAGAAAUCCAGCUGGCUAAUACCCGGUUGGGAUGACGGUACCCAAAGAAUAAGCACCGGCUAACUUCGUGCCAGCAGCCGCCGUAA
rnacentral:rRNA from 1 species